UCAUUUGCGACUAUUAAGUCAAAACUGUCGCAAUGUCUCUUUUUUCAAAAUUUAGCAACGGUGUAUGCGACAGUUUUGGCAACCGUUGCAACUUUUGGAUCUAAAACCAAAUUUUAAGUUAGCGCUAAGUGAAUUUGUGUGAACUCUUUCACUCACUCAGAUAAACUGAAAUCCCUCUUCACUUUUUGUUAUAAACAAAAAAAAAGAAAAAACCUCAAAUCCCUAAAAUCAUUUUCCAAAUCUCUCGAAUCAACGAAGAAGCUUCUCCUAUUUUACAAAUCACUCUCCAAAUUGUGUUCCCCUUCAUCGUUCCUAUUAACGAAGCUUAAUCUUCUAUCUCUAGAAAGCUUCAUCGUUCGGUUUCUCUUCUAGUUUCGCUGUCUCAUUAUGUCUUCGACAACGAGGCUUCUCUUUCACCACUCAGUUCCCGCCGCACACCCGUCAGUCACGUCGAUCUCCGCCGACACACCCUCCAAAGUUUAGACGUUCAGGGGAAAUAAGGGAUUGAGGCACACCACUUCUCAAUUAAUAUUGUUCCUAGCAACUUCAGAAUUUGGAGAAAAAAUGAGGCAGAUUCUUGUAACAAUGUCUAGUGGAAGUUUCUUGUCACAACUUCAGAAAUGAAGGAGACCGAAAAAUUCUAGCAAUAUCCAACUCACCUUGGAACUCACAAAGUGCCUUAGUGGUAAAAUUUCAAUGUUGAUCUUUCCAGAUAAUGAUUGGAUUAAACUAAAGAUAGAAGCAUUUCUCAUUUUGCGCAACCAAUUUCUCAAGUUUGCUGCCAAUUUUUAACUCUGCUGCUGAUUUUGUAACUCUGCUGCCGUUUUCGUAAUUGAAUAAGAAGAAUCAAGAGAUGAUUAUGGAUCAUGAAGCAACAUAACAUACUAGGGAUUAAUUUUUUUUCCUUUUAGAGUUUCAAGUUAUUUAAUUAAAUUUU